AUGACCAGCAGUCAGGAUUCUAGCGGUUAGGUGUAAAGUAGUGUAUUUCCUGGAAUGAACCUUUUUUUUCGCAUUAAUGUUUUUUCAUAGUUCCUACACUGGAACAGGCCGCCGAGGAGGAUGAUGCAUAUGAUGAGGCGGCAUUUAGUGACGACGAGCCAGAAUACCAUUUUGUCCGUCGCCAACCAGUGGAGGAGACACCUGUGCCAAUUAUUUAUGGGGGCCCCAGACAGGGGCAAGAUAGGUGGGCUGGCCCAGAAGCGGGCAGGCAGCAGCCCACUUAUACAAGAG